AUGGUUUUAGUGCUAGUGAAAUUGGCUGUAACGCUAGCAACAGUAACAGUGGCACUGAUAGUAACAGUAACAGUGGCACUUGUAGUAACAGUAACAGUGGCAAUUNNNNNNNNNNACAGUGGCAAUUGUAGUAACAGUAACAGUGGCAAUUGUAGUAACAGUUUUAAUUCCUUUUGCGGUACUAAUGCGAACAACAUAAACAAUAAACAACAAAACAAAGAAUUUUUACUGACUGACGAUAUAAAUUGUAUAAUCGAAAAUAUAGAAUUUUUAUCAAAUGUAGAAAAAAAAAAAUUAAAAGUUAUUUUACGAUCUGUUUGUUCGUACAUGAAUAGGCAGUAUGAACAAACAAACAGUUUUUUUCAUAUUAUAUACAAAAAUGUAUUAUAUCUGCUUAAUCAAAAUUAUAUGCAUCAACAAGCUGUAAGUUACAAAUUAAGAGAGCAGCAGAACAAUAAUAAUAACAAUAAUAAUAACAAUAAUAAUAAUAAUGAUAAAAAUAAUGAUAAUGAUAAAAAUGAAAUCGUAAAUAGAAAUCCCAAAUAUAUACAAAACAAAUUUUCAAAUGAAACAGACAAUUAUUUAUUAGAUAUAAAACAAAACAAAACAACAGAUUUGCAAACAGUUAGUGAGCUAAUCAAACUUUUUAAUUAUUUAAUGAUUGAAAUCGAUACAGUGUAUUAUUUAUAUUUAAAUAAUACCAUAGAACAGUUUAAUAUAGAAACCAUAAUAAAUAUGAUGAAAAGUUUUGUUUUUGUUUAUAAUAUAAAGAAUGAUUUGAACAAAAAUUAUAACAACGACAGUGUUAGUACGGACAGUAGUAGGAACUUACACACAAAUAAAGAAUAUAUAAAAACUUUAGAUAACAAUAUAAACAACCUAAUAAACAUUGUUACUCAAAUAAUAACAACAAGUACAUUAUAUAAUGUAUACAGUAUGUGUACGAUAAAACAAUUAAGUACUAUUGUUUAUUAUUUAUAUCAAAUAGAAAAUAUUUUUAAUGAAGAAGCAAAAGAGUUGUUACAGUUUGAAAAAUUACAAAAACACAUUAACAAUAUAGUUAUUGCAAAUUUAAAAAAUAUUUUAAAAGAAAAUGAAAAUACAAUAAAAAGUUCGAACAGCACUGGGAAAAUGGUUCAUCUUGAUACAUUUGGACAGGAAGAAAAUAAUAUAAAUAACCAUAAGAUUGGUAAUAAUCGAGUUGAUAAUACGACGGGUAACACGUUUGAUAACAAUCCAAUCACAAGUGACAAAGAUAGUGAAAAGGUAACAUACCCUUUUACCAAUAAUAGUAAUAGUAAUACUAAAUUAAUGGACCCUAUCAGUGUAAAUAAAAAUCAAAACGAACGGAUAGAAGAAUAUGAAAAUAAAAAAAAAAAAAAAAAUUAUAAUAAUAAUAACAAUGACAGUGAUAACGAUGAAUGUUUUAUUUUAUUAUUGAAUAUAUACAGCAAAAAAGGAGAUAAAAAGAACAUACUGCUGAUGUUACUAAAAAUAUUGAAUAUAGAAAAAAUAGCAAAAUCAAAUUACAGGUCCGAAGUAUAUAUUAGUUUGUUAAAUGCAGUGGCUAAAUUGAAGUACCGAAACGUAACACUUAUUAAUAUAUGUAUAAAAAAAAUAAAUAAAAAUGUACAGAAUUAUAAUUUUUAUGACUAUGUAAAUGUUCUAAUAUCUUUAUCUAAGCUUAAUAUAUGUAGUAUUAAUUUAAAACAUAAAUAUGAUAAGGUUUUUUUAUUAACGAGUCAUAAUAUAAAUGGUAAGGAAAAAGAAUAUAAUAAUGAGUCUAUAAAUGGUAUAUUUAGGAACGAGUAUGACAGUAGUGAUCGUACCAGUAGUAGUGAUCGUACCAGUAACAGUGAUAGUAACAAAAAUCGCGAUAACAAUAUUAUCCUUAAUAAUGACAAAGUUGAAGAAGCAUAUAAUUUAAUAAUACUUUUAAGAAUAAUAAAUAAAAACAUAUGUAAGUUUGUUUUAUUACCCACUUAUAAAAUAAUUAAUCUUAUUUCUAAUAUUUUAAGUAGCUACACAAUUUUAGGAUUUGAUAAAAUAAAUUUCAACAAUAUAAACAAGUUAUUAGAAUGUUUCCAUGAUUAUAUAUAUAAUUAUUUUGAACAUAAAAAUAUGUUAGAUUGCAAACAGAGUAGUAGUACUAGCGAUACAAAUGAACAGGUAGAAAAUAAAAUAAAUAAUAAUAAAAUAAAUAAUAAUAAAAUAAAUAAUAAUGAAAUAAACUAUAAUGAUUAUAUAUGGAGUAAGAAUUAUAAUUGGUAUUUCAGUAAUAAACAUAACAUAGUAAUAAGAAAAAAAAACUGUACAAAUACAAAUGCUGUAUUAUAUAUUCCACUUCAAUGUAUAUACCAAUUAUAUAUAUUUAACAUUUAUUUUAAUGCAUAUAUAAGUUAUGUAUAUGAGUCGAAUAAAACGGGUGAUAUAAAAAAUAAAAAAAAUUCAUUUGAUUUUGUAACUGGGUUAAUAAAAAAUAAAAUAAAAAUUGGUGAUAUAAAAUAUGAUUUAUCACAAUUGUUACAUAAUUCAGAUGUAUACUUAAACGAUGAACAUACUGAUAGCAUCAAUUGUCAUAAUAAUAAAAGUUAUAAUUUUUUUAAUAUAAACAAUAUUUUAAGUAAAAAAAGUAUACGCUUAUUAAAUGAUUUAGUUAUGUUUGUUAAAUAUAUAAACAACUUUUAUAAAAAAAAAAAUUAUGAAAAAUAUAAUAUGUUUAUGUCAUUUAUGAAUAAUAUUCAACUUCAACAUAAUUCCGUUGCUAGUAAUUAUAAAAAUGAUAAUAAUACCGAUGGUCAAGAUGGUUAUUCAAAUAGUAAUCAACACAAUUAUAAAACGUUAAUUGAACACAUUAGAUAUUGUCAUGUUCAAGUGAAUAAAGGAAAUUAUGUGACUACUUCAUCAAGCUUCCAUAGAGAUAUUUUUUCUACUCUGCUUUUAUUGGGUAUAAAAAAUGUGGAGUGUGAAGUACCAUUUCUCGAUGGAGUAUAUAGUAUUGAUAUCGUUAUAAACAACUCGAUAUGUAUAGAAAUUAAUGGAACUAAUCACUACUACUAUGAUAGCAACAUGAAAAAAUCAAGUCAAAAAAUUGAUUCUAUAAACUUAUUAAAGUAUUAUUUGUUAAGUAAAAAAUUUAAGUUAAUUUUAGUGUCAUAUUUAGAAUGGAGUAAUUUGAAAAACAUCGAAAUGAAAAAGCAAUUUUUAAGUGAAAUUAUAAAAAUAUAAAACAGGAACAAACAAAAAUAUAUAAAAUGCAAAUAUAUAAAAUGUAAAUACAUGAAAUGUAAAUACAUACAUUGUAAAUACAUGCAGUGUAAAUACAUACAUUAUAAAUACAUACAAUAUAUAUAAAAGGAAAAAAUAAGAAAAAAAAAAAUAACACUAAAAAUAAUACACAUAUAUAUGUAUACCUAAAUAGGGAUACACUUGUAUGUAUAUAAAAAUAUAUAACCAAAAUUAAAAAUUACAAUUUUAUAAAUCAAUAGUAAAUACAAACAAUAUUAUUAAAAAAUGAACACAUCUAGUGCAUAUAUUUUUAAUAUAAUAAAUGUUUAUUAUAAAAAGCUGUUAUAACCUUU
ensembl:lncRNA